rnacentral:rRNA from 1 species
UCGGUCGUCCUCUUGGUGAUUCUGAAUAACUUUGGGCUGAUCGCACGGCUUCACGCCGGCGACGUAUCUUUCUAAGGUGUGCCCUAUCAACUGUCGACUGUGGUAUAGACGUCCACAGUGGUUUUGACGGGUAACGGGGAAUCAGGGUUCGAUUCCGGAGAGGGAGCCUGAGAGACGGCUACCACUUCUAAGGAAGGCAGCAGGCACGCAAAUUACCCACUGGUCGAAGACCGAGGUAGUGACGAAAAAUAACGAUACCGGACUCAUCCGAGGCCCGGUAAUCGGAAUGAGUACACUUUAAAUCCUUUAACGAGGAACAAUUGGAGGGCAAGUCUGGUGCCAGCAGCCGCGGUAAUUCCAGCUCCAAUAGCGUAUGUUAAAGUUGUUGCGGUUAAAAAGCUCGUAGUUGGAUCUCGGCGGGUAGGGGGCGGUUCGUUAUUUGACGCUACUGCCCCAUUUAUCCGUGUUUUUGACGGAGGUUGCAGGGUGCUCUUUAUCGAGUGUCCUGUGAUGCCGUCAGGUUUACUUUGAAAAAAUUAGAGUGCUCAAAGCAGGCUUUAUACGCUUGGAUAUUCGUGCAUGGAAUAAUGGAAUAGGACGUCGUUUCUAUUUUGUUGGUUUUCGGAAAUCGACGUAAUGAUUAAUAGGGACAGUCGGGGGCAUUAGUAUUCAGACGACAGAGGUGAAAUUCUUGGACCGUCUGAAGACUAACUACUGCGAAAGCAUUUGCCAAGAAUGUUUUCAUUAAUCAAGAACGAAAGUUAGAGGUUCGAAGGCGAUCAGAUACCGCCCUAGUUCUAACCAUAAACGAUGCCAGCUAGCGAUCCGCAGACGUUUUUAUUGUAGGCUCUGCGGGAAGCUUCCGGGAAACCAAAGCUUGUGGGUUCCGGGGGAAGUAUGGUUGCAAAGCUGAAACUUAAAGGAAUUGACGGAAGGGCACCACCAGGAGUGGAGCCUGCGGCUUAAUUUGACUCAACACGGGAAAUCUCACCAGGCCCGGACACUGGAAGGAUUGACAGAUUGAGAGCUCUUUCUCGAUUCGGUGGGUGGUGGUGCAUGGCCGUUCUUAGUUGG